rnacentral:tRNA from 2 species
CGGGGUGUAGCUUAGUCCGGCUAAAGCGCUACGUUCGGGACGUAGAGACCGGAGGUUCGAAUCCUCUCACCCCGACCA